ACUCAUCUCAUCCACCCCACGAUUCACCUUGGGUCUCUAGGGUCCCAGGUUUGCCAUUUACCACCACGGGCAAGGCACAAGGCUCACAAUUGGCUUCGCACUCUGCUGUUGCCAUCGUGAAAUCCUCAAUGAUUUAUGUGCCGCAAGGAGCUCCCAAUUUUCAUUUUGCACUGGGCCUGCAAACUGCAAACUGCAGAUGUGGUCCUGCUGAGGACUUCUCAAGGAUGAGGCUUUGGUUUAUCUCUGCAUCUCACAGACUGCAGCAGUGACUGGGACACAGUAAGGACUUAACAAAGGAGGGAAGGUGGACACAUCACUCCCACAGGACAUCACAAAAAAAGGGUAAUCAAGUUUUUAAAAUGAAAAUAAAGGAUUGCUGAAUAAAUGAACAACCAGAGAGGCGGCCACCAGCCAAGGACAAACAAAGCUGAAUCUGGAACACUGGCUUCCUGCUGUCCUCUCAGACUAAACGCAGACAAAUAAACGUCACCUUACCUACCCACCAGUGUCUCAGCAAGGAAGGAGAGAGAGAAGGAAACGUCACCUUACCUACCCACCAGUGUCUCAGCAAGGAAGGAGAGAGAGAAGGAGGUGAAAGUGCACUGAAGACCUAAUACACAAUGUAUACUUAAGCGGGACUGUCAGGGGACAAAGGACCAGAGCCAGUGGACAAAACCUCCGUUCCCAAACUCCAAGCCACCAAUGGAAGGCCUCACAUAGGAAGCUGUGGGUGGAAGAUGGUGCGUUUCUACUGCCUGGUGGUUUUAGAUCUCUAUCGCCUACUCAGAAUCUGAACCCUAGCCUGUGUGUGUGAGAGGCUGCACGUGCACAUACAAAAACAGCAAGGUGAGGAAGCUGAGGCUCCAAGACACUAGGCAACUUACCU
rnacentral:lncRNA from 10 species